CCUGCCUGUUCUGAAACUCAAACAAAUUAACCCUUAACCUGGGGCAGAGCUAGCCCCUAUUCACAGUGCCUCAACCUGUAAUUCUGUACUGGGCUGUUUCUGGAAGAAUUCUAUGAGAAAAGAGACAUCACAGAAUUCCAGAAACACGACACAGAAGAGCAUAUGCAUGUGUUGCUGUGGUUGGUGUUUGUAUUCCGAGCAGCUUGAGCGGAGGGUUUAUCGGAAGCACGUGCCCAUUCUGUUCCCUCCUGUACCCUGGGACCAUUUUCUUUUGCCUGCUCUGGGAGCUGAGUGGGUCAGCUCAUCACAGGCCUGUGGCCCCUGUAUAGGUGACAGAGGAGACAAAGAUGACACAGAGAAGCUGUCCCUUCAGCGACAGAGUGGGGACACCCACGAGCCUGGCUCUGCCUUACAAAGAAAUGAGAAGGAACCCUGUUCCUGCUUUUCACCUUAGGUGGACUCCGAGUCCUCAGCCUCUCACCAAACACGGCUGCUACACUUGCGUGUCCCUUCCUCCUUGAAUUUAACCAGGAGUGAGCAGUGGACAGCUUCUUCCCUGUGAGAAGGAGGUGAAGCAGGACCUGAAAUCCCGUGCUCAGCUCCCACAGCCCCUGUGUCCAGAACAAGUCCUUUGCUGACUCAGCAGCAGAUGCCACCUGGAGCUCUUUGGGAGCCUUUCGCUGUUCUUUCAGCAUGGAUCUGAAACUCCGUUCCCACUUUCCGCAGCCUCCCAGAUAUAGUUCAGGUUCCAGCCUCAUGUGAUAGCAUGAAGAGAAACUGUGGUUCCAAUAGCUGUGUGCUCUGCUCCCCUUAUCCCAAACGACAAUUUAAAUGCACAAUGACACUUUUCUCUAGGGCCCAAAAUAGGAUAGGAAAGAUGGGUUUGCUAUCACUGAAUGCCUGUCACCCUUGUUUCGUGAGGUAAGAUUGGAGAAGGGCUUGGCCACUGCCCUGGCAGCUGAGAAACCAACUUCAGGAAUAAAGACACU